rnacentral:lncRNA from 1 species
AGGAAAUCAGCACAGUAUGCUAGUACUGCGCUGAUCCUUCUUUGAUGGUUGAUCAGGUAUCUCCUUCUUCUUGAUUUGGACUCUUCCAAAGAUAAAAAGUAAAAGGAGGAGUUUCAGAUCUGAGACACUCUCAGAAAACUCAAGAUGGAGGGAGGAAAGAUAUGAAAACAAAAAACCCUAGAAGAAGACCCUCUUCUUCUUCACAUUUUUCUCUCUAGACACCCUAACUUGCAUCUUUUAUAUCUCCAUGACCCAAAGGUCUUUCUCUCUAAUUUUUGGAUGGCACAAAGGUCUCUCA